GCUGGGCCAUCACUGACGCUCAUGGACGAAAGCCAGGGGAGCGAAAGGGAUUAGAUACCCCUGUAGUCCUGGCCGUAAACGAUGAACACUAGGUGUCGGGGGAAUCGACCCCUCGGGUGUCGUAGCCAACGCGUUAAGUGUUCCGCCUGGGGAGUACGCACGCAAGUGUGAAACUCAAAGGAAUUGACGGGGGCCGCACAAGCGGUGGAGUAUGUGGUUUAAUUCGAUGCAACGCGAAGAACCUUACCAGGGUUUGACAUCCUGCGAAUCUCUUGGAAACAGGAGAGUGCCUUCGGGAACGCAGUGACAGGUGGUGCAUGGCUGUCGUCAGCUCGUGUCGUGAGAUGUUGGGUUAAGUCCCGCAACGAGCGCAACCCACGUCUUUAGUUGCCAGCAUUUAGUUGGGCACUCUAGAGAGACUGCCGGUGAUAAACCGGAGGAAGGUGUGGAUGACGUCAAGUCAUCAUGCCCCUUACAUCCUGGGCUACACACGUACUACAAUGCUACGGACAAAGGGCAGCAAGUUCGCGAGGACAAGCAAAUCCCAUAAACCGUGGCUCAGUUCAGAUCGUAGGCUGCAACUCGCCUACGUGAAGGCGGAAUCGCUAGUAAUCGCAGGUCAGCAUACUGCGGUGAAUACGUUCCCGGGCCUU
rnacentral:rRNA from 1 species